rnacentral:rRNA from 1 species
AGUGAACGCUGGCGGUAGGCCUAACACAUGCCAGUCGAACGGCAGCACAGUAAGAGCUUGCUCUUACGGGUGGCGAGUGGCGGACGGGUGAGGAAUACAUCGGAAUCUACUUUUUCGUGGGGGAUAACGUAGGGAAACUUACGCUAAUACCGCAUACGACCUACGGGUGAAAGCAGGGGAUCUUCGGACCUUGCGCGAUUGAAUGAGCCGAUGUCGGAUUAGCUAGUUGGCGGGGUAAAGGCCCACCAAGGCGACGAUCCGUAGCUGGUCUGAGAGGAUGAUCAGCCACACUGGAACUGAGACACGGUCCAGACUCCUACGGGAGGCAGCAGUGGGGAAUAUUGGACAAUGGGCGCAAGCCUGAUCCAGCCAUACCGCGUGGGUGAAGAAGGCCUUCGGGUUGUAAAGCCCUUUUGUUGGGAAAGAAAAGCAGCAGGUUAAUACCCCGCUGUUCUGGCGGUACCCAAAGAAUAAGCACCGGCUAACUUCGUG